rnacentral:rRNA from 1 species
UACGUGGGGGGCAAGCGUUAUUCGGAAUUACUGGGCGUAAAGGGCUCGUAGGCGGCCAACUAAGUCGGAUGUGAAAUCCCCAGGCUUAACCUGGGAACUGCAUCCGAUACUGGAUGGCUUGAAUCCGGGAGAGGGAUGCAGAAUUCCAGGUGUAGCGGUGAAAUGCGUAGAUAUCUGGAGGAAUACCGGUGGCGAAGGCGGCAUCCUGGACCGGCAUUGACGCUGAUGAGCGAAAGCUAGGGGAGCAAACGGG